ACAAUGGGGGGAACCCUGAUCCAGCCAUGCCGCGUGUGUGAAGAAGGCCUUUUGGUUGUAAAGCACUUUAAGCGAGGAGGAGGCUACUCUGGUUAAUACCUAGGGAUAGUGGACGUUACUCGCAGAAUAAGCACCGGCUAACUCUGUGCCAGCAGCCGCGGUAAUACAGAGGGUGCGAGCGUUAAUCGGAUUUACUGGGCGUAAAGCGUGCGUAGGCGGCUUUUUAAGUCGGAUGUGAAAUCCCUGAGCUUAACUUAGGAAUUGCAUUCGAUACUGGGAAGCUAGAGUAUGGGAGAGGAUGGUAGAAUUCCAGGUGUAGCGGUGAAAUGCGUAGAGAUCUGGAGGAAUACCGAUGGCGAAGGCAGCCAUCUGGCCUAAUACUGACGCUGAGGUACGAAAGCAUGGGGAGCAAACAGGAUUAGAUACCCUGGUAGUCCAUGCCGUAAACGAUGUCUACUAGCCGUUGGGGCCUUUGAGGCUUUAGUGGCGCAGCUAACGCGAUAAGUAGACCGCCUGGGGAGUAC
rnacentral:rRNA from 1 species